UAUUUUCUAUACAUACUCCCACCUGCAAUUGGAUUCCUUCUGUGUUGCAUCACACUGGCUGUGUUUCUCUACAGAAAAUGCAUGAUGAUGAAACUAAAUCAGGAUGCCGUCCAGGAUCAGAUUCCUCCUCAGUCAGGAGAAGAGGGUGGCAGCACUAAUUGCAAAAACAACAGACAGAGGAGUCAGUAUAUGGAGAGACUGAAUUCAAUCUAUGAUCACUUCAAUCUAUGAUCAACUGAAAAACCUUCCAGUUCCUGACAGACAUGAACAGUGUCAGAGCAGAAACUAAAAGGGAACGCCAUCAGAGGCAGGACACCCGGGCUAUAAUACCCUCAGCUUCAGCUCAGACAAAUGACUCUGCCUGUGAGCGCAGCAGUUCCAACCAUCCAUCACCAUCCAGGGAGCUUUUAUAUCUCAAGGAUCUUUGCUGUAACAACUUUGAGAGCACUUAGUUUGACAGAAGUGCUUUUCUUCAUCUGUGAGUAUAAGACCAGGUUCAUGAACCUAUGUACUGUCAACCUAUUGACUGACUAUAAGAAAGCCUAUGACUCACACAGAUCCUGGAAUGCCUAGAAAUACAAGAACAACAGGACCCUAAGAGCCUUCAUCGGGAAUUCAGUGGGGAUGUGGUGAACAAUGCUAGAGGCCAACUUGAAGCCAAGUGCGUGGUCAAGUGUGGAAGGUCUGAAUCCCCUUAGCCAGAUCAUCAACAAGACUGGCUAGGGAUAUCAACUACACAAUCAAGCAAUCAUCAGCCACCACAACUAUAUGGAUGACAUCAAGCUGUAUGCCAAGAGUGAACGAGACAUAGACUCACUGAUCCAUACCACUAGGAUAUACAGCAAUGACACUGUGAUGUCAUACUGACUGGAGAAGUGUAGUGAGAUGGUAACAAAGAGAGGGAAAGCAGAACUGAGCGAACUGCACUGGCAGAAGGCAACAAUGCAGACAUCAAGGACAGCUACAAGUCCAUCCAUACCAUGCAUGGAGGGUUUCACCAUAUCCUGGGAUUGUGCACUAAGCAGAAUGAAGGAGACUAGUGAGUGUCAGAGUCAUUAUUGCUUUACUUUGCAGAAAAAUAAUGAUAAGGACACUGAAUCAGGAUCAGUUUCUCCCUCAGUCAAGAGAAGAGAUCAGAAGAUCGUCAUCAUCUUUAAUACUCUCAAAUUUUGUCUACCAAAUUUUAUUUUAGCCUUUUGUCUGUAUAGGUAAGUAUAUUUAUUUAUACAUGAUUUGAAGUUCUCUGAACCAUUUUCCAACAAAAGACACUCAGGAAAUUCAGACCUCCACCAAGGCAGGUCACUCUCUGUGCAGGAUUUUAGGGAAUAGUGUUGUAAUUUGUGUUCAUUAUUUUGUUUUCUUUGUUGCUUUUAAGCAUUUUAAAGAAGUUUCACUGCAGAAAUAAUUAAGUGUAAAGUGCAGACGUUUGCUGUUUGCCCCACAGAAAUACUUUUUAAUAUGUGUGCCAUAAUUUUGAGUAUAAUAAUAAUAAUAAUAAUUUUUUAUUGUUCAUUAAUGUGGAUGUAGCGGAUGUUUGUUUAGUAAAAUGUCCUUAAAUAUUUAGUAAUAAUUAGCAAAUGAACAAACGUUUUCUAUGUUAAUGAACAUUUUUGGAGUUUAGCUAUUCUGUUUUUACAUUUUGUAUUUUUGUAUUGAUUUUUUUA